rnacentral:rRNA from 1 species
UACGUAGGGGGCAAGCGUUGUCCGGAAUCAUUGGGCGUAAAGCGCGUGCAGGCGGCUCGAUAAGUCUGCUGUGAAAGUCCAGGGCUCAACCCUGGGAUGCCGGUGGAUACUGUCGAGCUCGAGUCCGGAAGAGGCGAGUGGAAUUCCUGGUGUAGCGGUGAAAUGCGCAGAUAUCAGGAGGAACACCAAUGGCGAAGGCAGCUCGCUGGGACGUGACUGACGCUGAGACGCGAAAGCGUGGGGAGCAAACAGG